CGGGUGAGUAACGCGUGGAUAACCUGCCUCACACUGGGGGAUAACAGUUAGAAAUGACUGCUAAUACCGCAUAAGCGCACAGUACCGCAUGGUACAGUGUGAAAAACUCCGGUGGUGUGAGAUGGAUCCGCGUCUGAUUAGCCAGUUGGCGGGGUAACGGCCCACCAAAGCGACGAUCAGUAGCCGACCUGGGAGGGUGACCGGCCACAUUGGGACUGAGACACGGCCCAA
rnacentral:rRNA from 1 species